rnacentral:lncRNA from 1 species
CGUGCCCAGGUACACCCACUGCCAAGCUGAAGAGUAAAAAAAUUAGUAUUUUUGCCAUGCCAGCACAAGGCAGGUGAGUUUCCGCCCUCAUUUUUAAUUCAGUCAAUUGUAUUUGAGCGCUUACUGUGUGCAGAGCACUGAGCUAAGGGCUUGGGAGGGUCCGAUAUAACGGAGUCGGUAGAUGCAUUCCCGAUUCGCUUUUUACUCAAACCUGACCCCUAAGUAGCCAGGGUUGGAGGCAUCUGUCCUCAUUCUUUGUUUUCUGUUUGGUUUUUAGGCCCCAACAAAGCACCGACUGCAUCUUACUCUCUGACCACCCCACCGCCACCUCCACCGGCCCAUCCUGCCACCCAGGCUCAACCCCCUCCACCAUCCUUCCCAACGCAACCUCCGGUCCCCAGCUUACCUCCAAGGAACAUCAAAGUUUCUGCUGAACCAAAGACUCC